GAAGGUAUAGUUCAGUGGUAGAGCACAUGCUUAGCAUGCAGGAUGUCCUAGGUUCAAUCCCCAGUACCUUCU
rnacentral:tRNA from 1 species